rnacentral:rRNA from 1 species
AACGAACGCUGGCGGCAGGCUUAACACAUGCAAGUCGAGCGCCCCGCAAGGGGAGCGGCAGACGGGUGCGUAACGCGUGGGAAUCUACCCAUCUCUACGGAAUAACGCAUGGAAACGUGUGCUAAUACCGUAUACGUCCUUCGGGGGAAAGAGUUAUCGGAGAUGGAUGAGCCCGCGUUGGAUUAGCUAGUCGGUGGGGUAAAGGCCGACCAAGGCGACGAUCCAUAGCUGGUCUGAGAGGAUGAUCAGCCACACUGGGACUGAGACACGGCCCAGACUCCUACGGGAGGCAGCAGUGGGGAAUAUUGGACAAUGGGCGCAAGCCUGAUCCAGCCAUGCCGCGUGAGUGAUGAAGGCCCUAGGGUUGUAAAGCUCUUUCACCGGUGAAGAUAAUGACGGUAACCGGAGAAGAAGCCCCGGCUAACUUCGUGCCAGCCGCCGCAGUAAUAC